ensembl:lncRNA
UGAUCUUCAUGAUCCUCUAAAGGAAGGAGAAUAGUGCCCAUUUUCCUAAUGGGAAAACUGAGGCAUGAACAGCUCAGUUGCUUACUCAAGGGCAAGAAAUUAGAUUUGUGACUCUCAUAUCUGGGGUGCAUUGUUUCAUAACACUGAGCCUGUCCUAAGACACAAAGAGUUUCCCAAGAUGUCCCCAAGCCUGGUGACAUGUGACCUUUCAUCCAGCCCUUUCACCCUAGGAUGCUGCCCAUGCCACCCUUAUCUACCCCAGGGCUGAAGCAAGGGCCCCAGACAUCCUGUAGUCAGCUGGCCUGGCCUGGGCUCUGGCUUCCUGUCCUCUGCGGCUCUCACAGGCACAUUUUGUCCCCUCUGAGGCCGGUUCUUUCUUCCUCUUUUAUCCUUCCUUCUUUGUCGCUCUUUGCUCACUGAGAGUCCUGUUUAAAUGCCUCCAUCCAUCUGUGUUUGCUUUUUACCUUUGUGUUCUGUAUGUCCCUUCUCCUGGGAAGUUUCCUAAGGUCCUCCGUGCCCUCUGCCCUUGACACCAUCUUGUUUUUAAGGAAGCAUCUUCCAUUUCUACCCCCACCCCCACUCCUCGCUUUGCUUCCAACUUGAGAAGAGGGGUCAGAUUACUCUGGUUCAUGCCGUCAGUGUGCACUUAAUGAAUGCCUACUCUGUGGCCCAGGAAUUGUGUUAGUGCCUAGGAUCUAAAGUCCAAAAGCUGUGCUGGAGCAUCUAUUAAGCACCUACUGUGUGCUUAUGCUUCAACCUAGGGACACGUAAGCUGGUCAUUGUCUUCAAGGAAUCUCCAGGUAAGAGAAUUCCUUUGUGGUAUAGUGGUUAGGACUCCAGGCUUUCACUGCUGAGAGUCUGGGUUCAGUCUCUGGUCAGGGAACUAAGAUCCCCCAAGUGGUACAGUGUGCUGCCCCCAAAGAUCUCCAGGCUACUUGGGAAGAUGCAUAUGAACAAGUUACUAUAAUGCCCUGGGAAGUCAGAGACUGGGUGUGACCAGAAGCCUCAGGAAGGGCUUUUCUGAGGAGGCCAGUCUUCAAGCCUGAGAGGAGCUGGCCAGGCAGAGAAAGGGUGCAGGGAGUGCCAAGUAGAAGGAACAGUGUGUAUAAAGGCACAUGGCGUGAAGCUGCCCUGGGUUCUCUGGCGGACACUUUGAGUUGUUUGGUCUGGCCUGAACCUGGAGUGCAGGUUGGGGAACCUGAGCAGAUGUGGCCAGAGGCAGGCAGCCCCAGAUGGUACAGAACCUCCUGUUCAGCCAGAGUUGACCUUUAUCCUGGAGCAGCCAGAAACCAAAGCAGCCUGACGGCUCCCUACAGCCUAGGAGCCCCAGGGUUGGGCUGGGGCCAGGCCUGAAAUACUCUCAAGUCGCCAUUAACCCAUAUUUACUGCCCUUUGGCUCCAUAAGACCUGAGAGAGAGGCAGACACUUCAAUAUAAUGCUGUUUCCAAAGCAUAAUCAUUCAUUCAUUCAUAAAUGUUUCACAAGUUCUCCUGUUUGCCACCUGCGGCUCUGAGCACUGGGAAGGGAUCAUUGACCCCCUCCACUGAGGUCCCAGCUUGCAAGAAAUUUUACCUCUUUGGCAGCUGGGGAGGGAGGAUAGGCCACAAACAAACAAAACAAAAGAAGUAAAUGAAAAAGAUAAUCUCAGAUCGUGCUGAGUGCAGAGAACAAAGCACAGUGGUGCAACUGCAAAUGAUGGGCUGAGUUGGGUGGUCAGUGGAGGCUGCUGUAAGGACAGUUACCUUUGAGCUGAGACCGAGAUGGCAAGAACAAACGAGUAUGUGAACGUGCGGGGACUUAGGGUUCUAGGCCUAGGAAAAAUCACUUGCAAAGGGCCUGAAACAUGACGGAGCUUGGUGUCUUUCAGGUUUAGAAAAAUGCUGGGUUCAUUACUCUCCGGCAAUUCUAUGCAAGGAUCAUUGUACUCAUUUUGUAGAGAUGGAAACUGGGUAUCAGAAUGGUUAAGUUCCUUGGCCAGUAUCCUAACUGGUAGUCCAAAUUUGGGCUCUAAAUCCACUGCUCUUUUUUUCUACCAAAGUAUCAUGUUGGUGUACAACCAGUGUCCUAAAUUAUUUAGAACCAUCCAGUUUCCAAAAUUCUGCCUCACUGUUCUCUGGACAUUCACCCUGGACCUUCUCUGUGUCCCAGAUCAUGACUUCAAGCCCUGUCUCUGCGUUCUACCAGCAACAGCCGAGAAUGGGCGUAUCAUCCCCCUAAGCCUCAGUUUCAUCAUCAGCAAACAGGGAGAGGAAAUUCCUCGCCUCUGGACCGCACCCGCCCUUGAACACCUCCCGGUCUCUUUGGGCAGAGCGCAAGCCAGACAGAGCUGGGGACAGUGAAGUGGCCAUCCUCAGCCCUGUGUGUGCCAGGAGCCCCCCUCCCGGGGGGUGGGGGGCGGGUGGCCCCGCUGCAGGAGGGCAGGGGCGGCAGAGGGAGCCUGGCGUGGGCGGCUGGGACAGAGUCCUUUUUGAAGGAGGUGGGGACCCCGUGAAGUACGUGACUUCUGACCCUUCAGCCUGCACGCUCCAGUUAGCAGGACAGAGACCCCUCCCCAUGCAUCCCCAGCCUUCCCGGGCUUUCUGCCCUGCGGGGAGGCCCUGUCACCCCGCCCCCCACAACACCCCCCCAGGCAUCCUUGAGAGGACCAGCUGGAACUGGGGGCUGGGAGCAGGCAGAGUCCUGCCAGGGGUCUCAGACCCCUAGCCUGUCUCCCCCUACCCCUCCCUCGACACAACUGCUGGUUUAAAGCAAAACCUGAUUCCGUCCUUUCUGCUGCUCGGUGGUGCUGGCACUGCUGCCUGGGGUUAUUUUUAGCAGGGAUGCGGGAACGCACAUUUCUCCCGGACUUUCACUGGGGACACCCCCACCCCGCCAGCCAAGACUCCCCCUGGGGAGGCUGUUUCGGAAACCCCCCCUCCCAGAAAGGGGAAACGGGUGUGCUUUCUGUUCCUCCAACUCACCAGAACAGGAGUUGCGGUCAAGCCUGGGGCUACCCUGGUGGGAAAUUCUAGGUUCCAAAGCCUUCAUCCCUGGUCUCUGUGUUCCCUUAAAUCUGGGGGGCCUGAUGCUCAGUGUGUGGGAGUUGGGGUCCAAGGAGAGCCAGCACUAUGGACUCCAUGGGGGCACCAGUUAUUCUGGGUGGUGUUUAUGUG